GAUGAACGCUGGCGGCGUGCCUAACACAUGCAAGUCGAACGAGAUGCGUAUCGGAAAGCUUCGGCCGGAAGAUACGUUAUCUAGUGGCGGACGGGUGAGUAACACGUGGGUAACCUGCCUUAUGGAGGGGGAUAACAGAGAGAAAUCACUGCUAAUACCGCAUAAGCACACAGUACCGCAUGGUACAGGGUGAAAAGAUUUAUCGCCAUAAGAUGGACCCGCGUCUGAUUAGCCAGUUGGCAGGGUAAAAGCCUACCAAAGCAACGAUCAGUAGCCGAUCUGAGAGGAUGACCGGCCACAUUGGGACUGAGACACGGCCCAAACUCCUACGGGAGGCAGCAGUGGGGAAUAUUGCACAAUGGGGGAAACCCUGAUGCAGCGACGCCGCGUGAGUGAAGAAGUAUUUCGGUAUGUAAAGCUCUAUCAGCAGGGAAGAUAAUGACAGUACCUGACUAAGAAGCCCCGGCUAACUACGUGCCAGCAGCCGCGGUAAUACGUAGGGGGCAAGCGUUAUCCGGAUUUACUGGGUGUAAAGGGAGCGUAGACGGAAUGGCAAGUCUGAAGUGAAAUACCCGGGCUCAACCUGGGAACUGCUUUGGAAACUGUUGUUCUAGAGUGUUGGAGAGGUAAGUGGAAUUCCUGGUGUAGCGGUGAAAUGCGUAGAUAUCAGGAAGAACACCGGACGCGAAGGCGGCUUACUGGACAAUAACUGACGUUGAGGCUCGAAAGCGUGGGGAUCAAACAGG
rnacentral:rRNA from 1 species